rnacentral:rRNA from 1 species
AUACGGAGGGUCCGAGCGUUAAUCGGAAUUACUGGGCGUAAAGCGUGCGCAGGCGGUUUGUUAAGCGAGAUGUGAAAGCCCUGGGCUCAACCUAGGAAUAGCAUUUCGAACUGGCGAACUAGAGUCUUGUAGAGGGGGGUAGAAUUCCAGGUGUAGCGGUGAAAUGCGUAGAGAUCUGGAGGAAUACCGGUGGCGAAGGCGGCCCCCUGGACAAAGACUGACGCUCAUGCACGAAAGCGUGGGGAGC